rnacentral:rRNA from 1 species
GACGAACGCUGGCGGCGUGCUUAACACAUGCAAGUCGAACGGAAAGGCCCUGCUUUUGUGGGGUGCUCGAGUGGCGAACGGGUGAGUAACACGUGAGUAACCUGCCCUUGACUUUGGGAUAACUUCAGGAAACUGGGGCUAAUACCGGAUAGGAGCUCCUGCUGCAUGGUGGGGGUUGGAAAGUUUCGGCGGUUGGGGAUGGACUCGCGGCCUAUCAGCUUGUUGGUGGGGUAGUGGCUUACCAUGGCUUGGACGGGUGGCAGGCCUGGGAGGGUGAGCGGCCACAUUGGGACUGAGAUACGGCCCAGACUCCUACGGGAGGCAGCAGUGGGGAAUAUUGCACAAUGGGCGGAAGCCUGAUGCAGCAACGCCGCGUGCGGGAUGACGGCCUUCGGGUUGUAAACCGCUUUCGCCUGUGACGAAGCGUGAGUGACGGUAAUGGGUAAAGAAGCACCGGCUAACUACGUG